ensembl:snoRNA
AAUCAGUGAUGUGAUGGCAUGUAUUAGCUGAAUCCAAAGUAGAUGUAAUUCUAAAAUUACACUGAGACCUU